rnacentral:rRNA from 1 species
CGCUAGCGACAGGCUUAACACAUGCAAGUCGGGGGGCAGCACAGGUAGCAAUACCGGGUGGCGACCGGCGCACGGGUGAGUAACGCGUAUGCAACUUGCCUAUCAGAGGGGGAUAACCCGGCGAAAGUCGGACUAAUACCGCAUGAAGCAGGGAUCCCGCAUGGGAAUAUUUGCUAAAGAUUCAUCGCUGAUAGAUAGGCAUGCGUUCCAUUAGGCAGUUGGCGGGGUAACGGCCCACCAAACCGACGAUGGAUAGGGGUUCUGAGAGGAAGGUCCCCCACAUUGGUACUGAGACACGGACCAAACUCCUACGGGAGGCAGCAGUGAGGAAUAUUGGUCAAUGGCCGAGAGGCUGAACCAGCCAAGUCGCGUGAGGGAUGAAGGUUCUAUGGAUCGUAAACCUCUUUUAUAAGGGAAUAAAGUGCGGGACGUGUCCCGUUUUGUAUGUACCUUAUGAAUAAGGAUCGGCUAACUCCGUGCCAGCAGCCGCGGUAAUACGGAGGAUCCGAGCGUUAUCCGGAUUUAUUGGGUUUAAAGGGUGCGUAGGCGGCCUUUUAAGUCAGCGGUGAAAGUCUGUGGCUCAACCAUAGAAUUGCCGUUGAAACUGGGGGGCUUGAGUAUGUUUGAGGCAGGCGGAAUGCGUGGUGUAGCGGUGAAAUGCAUAGAUAUCACGCAGAACCCCGAUUGCGAAGGCAGCCUGCCAAGCCAUGACUGACGCUGAUGCGCGAAAGCGUGGGGAUCAAACAGGAUUAGAUACCCUGGUAGUCCACGCAGUAAACGAUGAUCACUAGCUGUUUGCGAUACACUGUAAGCGGCACAGCGAAAGCGUUAAGUGAUCCACCUGGGGAGUACGCCGGCAACGGUGAAACUCAAAGGAAUUGACGGGGGCCCGCACAAGCGGAGGAACAUGUGGUUUAAUUCGAUGAUACGCGAGGAACCUUACCCGGGUUUGAACGCAUUCGGACCGAGGUGGAAACACCUUUUCUAGCAAUAGCCGUUUGCGAGGUGCUGCAUGGUUGUCGUCAGCUCGUGCCGUGAGGUGUCGGCUUAAGUGCCAUAACGAGCGCAACCCUUGCCACUAGUUACUAACAGGUAAAGCUGAGGACUCUGGUGGGACUGCCAGCGUAAGCUGCGAGGAAGGCGGGGAUGACGUCAAAUCAGCACGGCCCUUACAUCCGGGGCGACACACGUGUUACAAUGGCGUGGACAAAGGGAGGCCACCUGGUGACAGGGAGCGAAUCCCCAAACCACGUCUCAGUUCGGAUCGGAGUCUGCAACCCGACUCCGUGAAGCUGGAUUCGCUAGUAAUCGCGCAUCAGCCAUGGCGCGGUGAAUACGUUCCCGGGCCUUGUACACACCGCCCGUCAAGCCAUGGGAGCCGGGGGUACCUGAAGUCCGUAACCGCGAGGAUCGGCCUAGGGUAAAACUGGUGACUGGGGCUA